rnacentral:rRNA from 1 species
GGGGAAUGCCUUGGCACCGAGAGCCGAAGAAGGACGUGACUAACUGCGAUAAGCUACGGGGAGCUGUAAGUGAGCGUUAUAUCCGUAGAUUUCCGAAUGGAGCAAUCCGAUUAGAGGAAAGUCUAAUCAUCAUAUACUGAAUACAUAGGUAUAUGAGGGGAACCGCCUGAACUGAAACAUCUAAGUAGGGCGAGGAAGAGAAAUCAACAGAGAUUCCGUAAGUAGUGGCGAGCGAACGCGGAAGAGGCCAAACCUAAUGUAGUAAUAUGUUAGGGGUUCGGACAGUAUAAUGAAUUGUCGAGAUUUAGCCGAAUGUCAUGGGAAGGGCAAUCAAAGAAGGUGAAAAUCCUGUAGGCGAAAAGUUAAGACAUCAGACUGUAUCCAGAGUACCGCCGGACACGUGAAACCCGGUGGGAAUACGGGGGGACCAUCCUCCAAGCCUAAAUACUACUCGGUGACCGAUAGAGAAGAAGUACUGUGAAGGAAAGGUGAAAAGCACCCCGGAAGGGGAGUGAAAGAGAACCUGAAACCUUGUGUUUACAAGCACCGAAAGUUCAUCAACGAACGAUCGGGUACCUUUUGUAGAAUGGUCCGGCGAGUGAAUGUAACUGGCAAGGUUAAGGACUUCAGGUCUGGAGCCGUAGCGAGAGCGAGUCUGAAUAGGGCGCAUGAAGUCAGUUGUAUUCGACCCGAAACCGGGUGACCUACCCAUGUCCAGGCUGAAGUGCAGGUAAAACUUCAUGGAGGGCCGAACCGACUCCCGUUGAAAUGGUAGCGGAUGAGGUGUGGGUAGCGGAGAAAUUCCAAUCGAACCCGGAGAUAGCUGGUUCUCUCCGAAAUAGCUUUAGGGCUAGCCUUGGAAUAGAUUACUGGAGGUAAAGCACUGAAUUGGCUAGGGGCCGAGAGGUUACUGAACCUUAUCAAACUAAGAAUGCCAGAUAAUCGUUUUCCAGGAGUCAGACAGUGGGAGAUAAGUUUCAUUGUCAAAAGGGAAACAGCCCAGACCUACAGCUAAGGUCCCAAAGUAUAGUUAAGUGGAAAAGGAUGUGGAAUUGCAUAGACAACCAGGAUGUUGGCUUAGAAGCAGCCACUCAUUAAAAGAGUGCGUAAUAGCUCACUGGUCGAGUGAUUCUGCGCCGAAAAUUUAACGGGGCUAAACUAUACACCGAAGCUUAGGAUACCGCAAGGUAUGGUAGGAGAGCGUUCUGUACGGAGUGAAGUCGUAGCGAAAGCGGCGGUGGACUGUACAGAAGUGAGAAUGCCGGAAUAAGUAGCGAGAAUUAAGUGAGAAUCUUAAUGGCCGAAAGUCUAAGGUUUUUGGAGGAAGGUUCGUCCGCUCCAAGUAAGUCGGGAGCUAAGGUCAGGCCGAAAGGCGUAGCCGAUGCACAAACGGUUGAUAUUCCGUUACCGUCUACAAUUUAAACAAAGGGACACAUACAAAGCGUUUAACCCGGGCGAUGGUUGACCCGGGCGCAAGGGACUGAAAUAAGAGUAGGGAAGUAAAUGUGGCGUAUGGCGAGAAAAGCUUUGUGAAUAGAAGUAGACGCCCGUACCGCAAACCGACACAGGUGGACAGGAAGAGAAUUCUAAGGCCAGCGGGAGAAGGGUAGUUAAGGAACUCGGCAAAUUGACUCCGUAACUUCGGAAUAAGGAGUGCUCGAAAGAGCCGCAGAGAAUAGGCCCAGGCGACUGUUUAGCAAAAACACAGGUCUCUGCCAAAUCGAAAGAUGAAGUAUAGGGGCUGACACCUGCCCGGUGCCGGAAGGUUAAGAGGAGGAGUGCAAGCUCCGAAUUGAAGCCCCGGUAAACGGCGGCCGUAACAAUAACGGUCCUAAGGUAGCGAAAUUCCUUGUCGGGU